AUGCAAUUGGUUUCUGGGGGGCACACGGCUGUGGCUGUCAAUGGCCAAAUUAGCCAGUUUUUUGCUAAUGGCAGGGGCCUCAGGCAAGGGGAUCCAGCGUCCCCUUUACUCUUCAACUUUGUGGCUGAUGCUCUAUCUCGCAUUCUCUCUCGAGCUGCCUUGGCUGGUCAUAUCACUCCGGUG
rnacentral:rRNA from 1 species